rnacentral:lncRNA from 1 species
GCACGGGUGACCAAGAAUCCUGGACUGCAGUGAAGCAAAGGUUGCCAUGGGAACCGCAGUGGCGCCCCCCGCGGAACCCCGCGUUUAUUACGGAGAAUCGAUCUGCACCAGACACCGAGGCUGCUACUGCGGAGGCCGCUGGAGGCUAGCAAGGGGAGGCGAGGGGGGUGGAGAGCAAAGGCUCAGGGCAUCCGCCCCUCCUCCACCCACCUCCAUCCAUCCGGGCUCAAGAGCAGCAGAAAUUACGUUUAGUGCAAAUUGCUGAAGCUCCCUACUUCAUCCUCAGUGGUGGGUGGCACGGUGUCUCGCAGGCAGCAGACCGCGGGGAAGGUCGGAGUACGGGUGAAGCCCCUCCGCCUGCCACCGCAGCGGCCUCAAUCCUGGGAGUCAGGGACACUUAAAGGCACGGUUGGGGUCCUGAAGGAAGAGAUGGGAUCCGGACUGGAGAUAGCCAUCUCUCUUCGCAGCCCCUGAGACAGAGUCAUUCGACCACCUUCUCUCCCGACUGACUUUCCUGCUCCGGUAAUUAAGGGAGAAGCGCAGAGACAGAUUCACCCCAUUUCGCCCUUUCUCAUUCCCAGUCAUUGCGAAGCCCCUGGCCUGAAAGGCUCGGGUUCCUCUCC